UACGUAGGGGGCAAGCGUUGUCCGGAAUCAUUGGGCGUAAAGAGCGUGUAGGCGGCUCGGUAAGUCCGCUGUGAAAGUCGGGGGCUCAACCUCGGAUGCCGGUGGAUACUGUCGGGCUAGAGUACGGAAGAGGCGACUGGAAUUCAUGGUGUAGCAGUGAAAUGCGUAGAGAUCAUGAGGAAGACCAGUGGCGAAGGCGGGUCUCUGGACAGUUCCUGACACUGAGACACGAAGGCCAGGGGAGCAAACGGG
rnacentral:rRNA from 1 species